rnacentral:rRNA from 1 species
UCGAGAAUCUUCGGCAAUGGGCGCAAGCCUGACCGAGCGACGCCGCGUGCGGGAUGAAGGCCUUCGGGUUGUAAACCGCUGUCAGUGGGGAGGAAAUGCCGGGGGGUUCACCCCUCGGUUUGACCUAUCCGCAGAGGAAGGACGGGCUAAGUUCGUGCCAGCAGCCGCGGUAAGACGAACCGUCCAAACGUUAUUCGGAAUCACUGGGCUUAAAGGGUGCGUAGGCGGCCCGGCAAGUCGGGUGUGAAAGCCCUCGGCUCAACCGAGGAAUUGCGCCCGAAACUGCCGGGCUCGAGGAAGGUAGAGGUGAGCGGAACUUAGGGUGGAGCGGUGAAAUGCGUUGAUAUCCUAAGGAACACCAGCAGCGAAAGCGGCUCACUGGGCCUUUUCUGACGCUGAGGCACGAAAGCUAGGGGAGCGAACGG